UGGUUGGUACAGACUGUGUCA
rnacentral:misc_RNA from 1 species